UACGUAGGGUGCAAGCGUUGUCCGGAAUUAUUGGGCGUAAAGAGCUCGUAGGCGGUCUGUCGCGUCUGCUGUGAAAACUCAGGGCUUAACCCUGAGCUUGCAGUGGGUACGGGCAGACUAGAGUGCGGUAGGGGAGACUGGAAUUCCUGGUGUAGCGGUGAAAUGCGCAGAUAUCAGGAGGAACCCCGGGGGCCAAAGCGGGUCUUUGGGCCGUAACUGACGCUGAGGAGCGAAAGCAUGGGGAGCGAACAGG
rnacentral:rRNA from 1 species